UUCUCUCCACGUACGAACUUGCAUUGUCUACUCACCUCUCCCAGCAACAAAUUUAAAUGCAUGGCGACAAUCGAGCCACAUGUGGAGCAGGUGGAGCAUGGAUGUCCGUUGGACUUUACAUGGAUCCAUAGCCUUUGAGCUAGCUUGAACCUACCGGCGGUGAGCUAGCUUCCCUGCAGUGCCACCUCCUUAGCUUUUGGCUUGAUCGAGUGACAGAAAUAAAUGAGCGGAUCAUCAUUUUUAAUUUAUACAGAAAUAAAGAUCAGGGAACAGAGAAAUGGGAACUGUCGCAUGUGUCUGUCUAGAUGAAAAAUGCACACUACGUACCACCAGCAAGAGGUCAGAUUUCAUGAGGGAACAGUUUUUCGUGAGAAUUAACAAUACACUCUCAUGGAAUUAAUAUUUUUUUCAUGAAAGUGGUGUAAAUUAAACCCCUGAAUUUCUAAUAGUUUGCAUCAAUUAAUAACGUAACUCAACUAAGUGAGCUGAGUAUAUAUUAUUAUUCAUACACAAAGAUGUUUGUGUUUAGCUGCCAAUGCUUCAUGGAGGAGCCGUAACACUCAUAUAUAUACUCACACACACUGAACCGGCACUAUACUUGAAACUUGUCAGGGAUUUGCCUGCAUGAACAUCAACUGCAUACAUCGUUUCUUGUCAUACCAUGAGUCUCAGCAUCAAAGUGUGUACUGCAUUUUUAAUUAGAUGAGCACAGAUUCUUGGGUUCUUUACUUAUUUUCUUUAUUUUGCUUUAUCUUCUCUCCUGCCUGUCAUUUUUAUUAUGAUAUGUCAAUGUCUAGCUAGAGCAUUCUAUUUGAA